GACAUAGGUGGCAAACGUUAUCCGGAAUUAUUGGGCGUAAAGGGUGCGUAGAUGGCAGGAUAAGUUAUUGGUCGAUAUCAAACUCAAUUUGGUGGAAGCUGGUAAUACUGUUCUGCUAGAGGACAGGAGAGGUUGAUGGAACUCUAUGUGUAGGGGUGAAAUCCGUAGAUAUUCGGAAGAACACCAGUGGCGAAGGCGACUCGCUGGACAAGUAUUGACGCUGAGGUGCGAAAGCGUGGGGAGCGAACAGG
rnacentral:rRNA from 1 species